rnacentral:rRNA from 1 species
UACGUAGGUGGCGAGCGUUGUCCGGAUUUAUUGGGCGUAAAGAGCUCGUAGGCGGUUUGGCAAGUCGGGUGUGAAAACUCCGGGCUCAACUCGGAGACGCCACUCGAUACUGCUAUGACUCGAGUCCGGUAGGGGAGUGCGGAAUUCCUGGUGUAGCGGUGAAAUGCGCAGAUAUCAGGAGGAACACCGGUGGCGAAAGCGCUCUGCUGGACCUAAACUGACACUGAGGGACGAAAGCUAGGGGAGCGAAUGGG